CUCUUGCACAGGGAGGCUGUCAACUGCCAGCUCUGCAGUGGCUUUUUCCAUAGGAAGCAUUUCAGAGUGCCUAAAGGUGUUGUAACUACUUCUUACACAUGCAACAGAUGCAAGGAUGCAAAGACCAUGAGUGGGAAAGAUAAA